GACGAACGCUGGCGGCGUGCCUAAUACAUGCAAGUCGAACGCUGAAGAGAGGAGCUUGCUCUUCUUGGAUGAGUUGCGAACGGGUGAGUAACGCGUAGGUAACCUGCCUUGUAGCGGGGGAUAACUAUUGGAAACGAUAGCUAAUACCGCAUAACAAUGGAUGACACAUGUCAUUUAUUUGAAAGGGGCAAUUGCUCCACUACAAGAUGGACCUGCGUUGUAUUAGCUAGUAGGUGAGGUAAUGGCUCACCUAGGCGACGAUACAUAGCCGACCUGAGAGGGUGAUCGGCCACACUGGGACUGAGACACGGCCCAGACUCCUACGGGAGGCAGCAGUAGGGAAUCUUCGGCAAUGGGGGCAACCCUGACCGAGCAACGCCGCGUGAGUGAAGAAGGGUUUCGGAUCGUAAAGCUCUGUUGUAAGUCAAGAACGGGUGUGAGAGUGGAAAGUUCACACUGUGACGGUAGCUUAACAGAAAGGGACGGCUAACUACGUG
rnacentral:rRNA from 1 species